rnacentral:rRNA from 1 species
AUUGGGUUCCGGCAUUGGAAUGAGAACAAUAUAAAUCUUUUAACGAGGAUCUAGUGGAGGGCAAGUCUGGUGCCAGCAGCCGCGGUAAUUCCAGCUCCGCAAGUGUAUAUCUAUGUUGCUGCAGUUAAAAAGCUCGUAGUUGGAUCUGCGUGUUUAGCGUCCGGUUCGACUUUUGGUCGUUACUGGAACGCGACACAGAUGUGCUGGUUUGCCGUUGAUGCUCUUAACCGGGUGUCAGUGGCGGCUAGCGAGUUUACUUUGAAAAAAUUAGAGUGCUCAAAACAGGCGUUUCGCCUGAAUAUUUCUGCAUGGAAUAAUAGAAUAGGACUUCGAUUCUAUUCUGUUGGUUUUCGGAAUGCGAAGUAAUGAUUAAGAGGGACAGACGGGGGCAUUCGUACUGCGACGUUAGAGGUGAAAUUCUUGGAUCGUCGCAAGACGUACUACUGCGAAGGCAUUUGCCAAGAAUGUUUUCAUUAAUCAAGAACGAAAGUUAUGGGUUCGAAGGCGAUCAGAUACCGCCCUAGUCAUAACCGUAAACGAUUCAAACUGGGCGCCCGACGGUGUUUUUAUUGACCCGUCGGGAACCCUCCCGGAAACGAAAGUGUUCGUGUUCCGGGGGAAAUAUGUCUGCAAAGAGGAAACUUAAAGGAAUUGACGGAAGGGCACCACCAGGGGUGGAGCCUGCGGCUUAAUUUGACCCAACACGGGGAAACUCACCCGGCCCGGACACCGUAAGGAUUGACAGAUUGAGAGCUCUUUCUUGAUUCGGUGGGUGGUGGUGCAUGGCCGUUCUUAGUUGGUGGAGUGGUUUGUCUGGUUUAUUCCGAUAACGAACGAGACUCUGGCCUGCUAACUAGUGUUCACAUCUUUACGUGUGCUUCGCUUCUUAGAGGGACAGGCGGCUUCCAGCCGCAUGAAGAAGAGCAAUAACAGGUCUGUGAUGCCCUUAGAUGUCCGGGGCUGCACGCGCGCUACACUGAAAGAAUCAGCGUGUACGUUACCUGGCUCGAAAGAGUCGGGUAAUCCGGUGAAAAUCUUUCGUGAUUGGGAUCGGGACUUGCAAUUAUUUCCCUUGAACGAGGAAUCCCUAGUAAGUGCGGGUCAUCAGCUCGCGCUGAUUACGUCCCUGCCCUUUGUACACACCGCCCGUCGCUGCCCGGAACUGAGCCGUUUCGAGAAAAAUGGGGACUGUCUACUUGAGGUCUUCACGGACUUUUUGUAAAUGGAAACCGCUUUAAUCGCAGCGGCUUGAACCGGGCAAAAGUCGUAACAAGGUUUCCGUAGGUGAACCUGCGGAAG